rnacentral:rRNA from 1 species
AUUGAACGCUGGCGGCAUGCUUUACACAUGCAAGUCGGACGGCAGCACAGAGAAGCUUGCUUCUUGGGUGGCGAGUGGCGAACGGGUGAGUAACAUAUCGGAACGUACCGAGCAGUGGGGGAUAACUAAUCGAAAGAUUAGCUAAUACCGCAUAUCUUCUGAGGAAGAAAGCAGGGGACCAUUUGGCCUUGCGCUGUUUGAGCGGCCGAUAUCUGAUUAGCUAGUUGGUGGGGUAAAGGCCUACCAAGGCGACGAUCAGUAGCGGGUCUGAGAGGAUGAUCCGCCACACUGGGACUGAGACACGGCCCAGACUCCUACGGGAGGCAGCAGUGGGGAAUUUUGGACAAUGGGCGCAAGCCUGAUCCAGCCAUGCCGCGUGUCUGAAGAAGGCCUUCGGGUUGUAAAGGACUUUUGUCAGGGAAGAAAAGGGCGGGGUUAAUACCCCCUGUCUGAUG